GCUCAGAUUGAACGCUGGCGGCAGGCCUAACACAUGCAAGUCGAACGGUAACAGGAAACAGCUUGCUGUUUCGCUGACGAGUGGCGGACGGGUGAGUAAUGUCUGGGAAACUGCCUGAUGGAGGGGGAUAACUACUGGAAACGGUAGCUAAUACCGCAUAACGUCGCAAGACCAAAGAGGGGGACCUUCGGGCCUCUUGCCAUCAGAUGUGCCCAGAUGGGAUUAGCUAGUAGGUGGGGUAACGGCUCACCUAGGCGACGAUCCCUAGCUGGUCUGAGAGGAUGACCAGCCACACUGGAACUGAGACACGGUCCAGACUCCUGCGGGAGGCAGCAGUGGGGAAUAUUGCACAAUGGGCGCAAGCCUGAUGCAGCCAUGCCGCGUGUAUGAAGAAGGCCUUCGGGUUGUAAAGUACUUUCAGCGGGGAGGAAGGGAGUAAAGUUAAUACCUUUGCUCAUUGACGUUACCCGCAGAAGAAGCACCGGCUAACUCCGUGCCAGCAGCCGCGGUAAUACGGAGGGUGCAAGCGUCAAUCGGAAUUACUGGGCGUAAAGCGCACGCAGGCGGUUUGUUAAGUCAGAUGUGAAAUCCCCGGGCUCAACCUGGGAACUGCAUCUGAUACUGGCAAGCUUGAGUCUCGUAGAGGGGGGUAGAGUUCCAGGUGUAGCGGUGAAAUGCGUAGAGAUCUGGAGGAAUACCGGUGGCGAAGGCGGCCCCCUGGACGAAGACUGACGCUCAGGUGCGAAAGCGUGGGGAGCAAACAGGAUUAGAUACCCUGGUAGUCCACGCCGUAAACGAUGUCGACUUGGAGGUUGUGCCCUUGAGGCGUGGCUUCCGGAGCUAACGUGUUAAGUCGACCGCCUGGGGAGUACGGCCGCAAGGUUAAAACUCAAAUGAAUUGACGGGGGCCCGCACAAGCGGUGGAGCAUGUGGUUUAAUUCGAUGCAACGCGAAGAACCUUACCUGAUCUUGACAUCCACGGAAGUUUUCAGAGAUGAGAAUGUGCCUUCGGGAACCGUGAGACAGGUGCUGCAUGGCUGUCGUCAGCUCGUGUUGUGAAAUGUUGGGUUAAGUCCCGCAACGAGCGCAACCCUUAUCCUUUGUUGCCAGCGGUCCGGCCGGGAACUCAAAGGAGACUGCCAGUGAUAAACUGGAGGAAGGUGGGGAUGACGUCAAGUCAUCAUGGCCCUUACGACCAGGGCUACACACGUGCUACAAUGGCGCAUACAAAGAGAAGCGACCUCGCGAGAGCAAGCGGACCUCAUAAAGUGCGUCGUAGUCCGGAUUGGAGUCUGCAACUCGACUCCAUGAAGUCGGAAUCGCUAGUAAUCGUGGAUCAGAAUGCCACGGUGAAUACGUUCCCGGGCCUUGUACACACCGCCCGUCACACCAUGGGAGUGGGUUGCAAAAGAAGUAGGUAGCUUAACCUUCGGGAGGGCGCUUACCACUUUGUGAUUCAUGACUGGGGUGAAGUCGUAACAAGGUAACCGUAGGGGAACCUGCGGUUG
rnacentral:rRNA from 1 species